AACGCUGGCGGCGUGCUUAACACAUGCAAGUCGAACGGAAAGGCCCUGCUUUUGUGGGGUGCUCGAGUGGCGAACGGGUGAGUAACACGUGAGUAACCUGCCCUUGACUUUGGGAUAACUUCAGGAAACUGGGGCUAAUACCGGAUAGGAGCUCCUGCUGCAUGGUGGGGGUUGGAAAGUUUCGGCGGUUGGGGAUGGACUCGCGGCUUAUCAGCUUGUUGGUGGGGUAGUGGCUUACCAAGGCUUUGACGGGUAGCCGGCCUGAGAGGGUGACCGGCCACAUUGGGACUGAGAUACGGCCCAGACUCCUACGGGAGGCAGCAGUGGGGAAUAUUGCACAAUGGGCGGAAGCCUGAUGCAGCAACGCCGCGUGCGGGAUGACGGCCUUCGGGUUGUAAACCGCUUUCGCCUGUGACGAAGCGUGAGUGACGGUAAUGGGUAAAGAAGCACCGGCUAACUACGUGCCAGCAGCCGCGGUGAUACGUAGGGUGCGAGCGUUGUCCGGAUUUAUUGCGCGUAAAGGGCUCGUAGGUGGUUGAUCGCGUCGGAAGUGUAAUCUUGGGGCUUAACCCUGAGCGUGCUUUCGAUACGGGUUGACUUGAGGAAGGUAGGGGAGAAUGGAAUUCCUGGUGGAGCGGUGGAAUGCGCAGAUAUCAGGAGGAACACCAGUGGCGAAGGCGGUUCUCUGGGCCUUUCCUGACGCUGAGGAGCGAAAGCGUGGGGAGCGAACAGGCUUAGAUACCCUGGUAGUCCACGCUGUAAACGGUGGGUACUAGGUGUGGGGUCCAUUCCACGGGUUCCGUGCCGUAGCUAACGCUUUAAGUACCCCGCCUGGGGAGUACGGCCGCAAGGCUAAAACUCAAAGGAAUUGACGGGGCCCCGCACAAGCGGCGGAGCAUGCGGAUUAAUUCGAUGCAACGCGUAGAACCUUACCUGGGUUUGACAUGGAUCGGGAGUGCUCAGAGAUGGGUGUGCCUCUUUUGGGGUCGGUUCACAGGUGGUGCAUGGCUGUCGUCAGCUCGUGUCGUGAGAUGUUGGGUUAAGUCCCGCAACGAGCGCAACCCUUGUUCACUGUUGCCAGCACGUUAUGGUGGGGACUCAGUGGAGACCGCCGGGGUCAACUCGGAGGAAGGUGGGGAUGACGUCAAGUCAUCAUGCCCCUUAUGUCCAGGGCUUCACGCAUGCUACAAUGGCUGGUACAGAGAGUGGCGAGCCUGUGAGGGUGAGCGAAUCUCGGAAAGCCGGUCUCAGUUCGGAUUGGGGUCUGCAACUCGACCUCAUGAAGUCGGAGUCGCUAGUAAUCGCAGAUCAGCAACGCUGCGGUGAAUACGUUCCCGGGGCUUGUACACACCGCCCGUCAAGUCAUGAAAGUUGGCAACACCCGAAGCCGGUGGCCUAACCGUUGUGGGGGAGCCGUCGAAGGUGGGACUGGU
rnacentral:rRNA from 1 species